UGGGGAAUAUUGCACAAUGGGCGCAAGCCUGAUGCAGCCAUGCCGCGUGUAUGAAGAAGGCCUUCGGGUUGUAAAGUACUUUCAGCGGGGAGGAAGGGAGUAAAGUUAAUACCUUUGCUCAUUGACGUUACCCGCAGAAGAAGCACCGGCUAACUCCGUGCCAGCAGCCGCGGUAAUACGGAGGGUGCAAGCGUUAAUCGGAAUUACUGGGCGUAAAGCGCACGCAGGCGGUUUGUUAAGUCAGAUGUGAAAUCCCCGGGCUCAACCUGGGAACUGCAUCUGAUACUGGCAAGCUUGAGUCUCGUAGAGGGGGGUAGAAUUCCAGGUGUAGCGGUGAAAUGCGUAGAGAUCUGGAGGAAUACCGGUGGCGAAGGCGGCCACCUGGACGAAGACUGACGCUCAGGUGCGAAAGCGUGGGGAGCAAACA
rnacentral:rRNA from 1 species